rnacentral:lncRNA from 1 species
AAUAUUUUAUUCAGAAGAAAUACAGAAAAAAAGUCUGAAAAGUUUAAUUCAUUCAUAUACAGAAAUAUAGAGCAAAUAAAGCAUCAAGAUACAAUGUAGCAAAUGAACGAUUUUAAUUAUAAAAAGAAAUAACAUAAACAUUUGUACAUUCAUUUCAGAAACCCUAGACCAGAUUUAGUAUGUGUUUCAAGUGAAAUAAAAAAAGAAUGAACAAUGACAAACGUUUUGGGUUGGCGGUAUGAAGGUAUCAAUCAAGAUGGCAAUAUGUAAUACACAGGCAAAUUUCACUCACAUCAAUUUCACGUGAAUUUAAAUUCAUGUGAAUCUCACGUGAAAUUCACAUCAUUUUCACCUCAAAGGAGCUUAUACGUGAAACUCACGUGAAAACAAUUUUUGUGAGUUUCAUGUGAUUCUCAUGUGAAACUCAUGUGAAUUUCACAUGAAAAUCACGUAAAAAUUUUC